rnacentral:rRNA from 1 species
UGGGGAAUAUUGGACAAUGGGCGAAAGCCUGACCCAGCCAUGCCGCGUGUGUGAAGAAGGUCUUCGGAUUGUAAAGCACUUUAAGUUGGGAGGCAGGGCAGUAAGCGAAUACCUUGCUGUUUUGACGUUACCGACAGAAUAAGCACCGGCUAACUCUGUGCCAGCAGCCGCGGUAAUACAGAGGGUGCAAGCGAUAAUCGGAAUUACUGGGCGUAAAGCGCGCGUAGGUGGGUCGUUAAGUUGAAUGUGAAAGCCCCGGGCUCAACCUGGGAACUGCAUCCAAAACUGGCGAGCUAGAGUAGAGCAGAGGGUGGUGGAAUUUCCUGUGUGGCGGUGAAAUGCGUAGAUAUAGGAAGGAACACCAGUGGCGAGGGCGACCACCUGGGCUCAUACUGACACUAAGGUGCGAAAGCGUGGGGAGCAAACAGG